UACGGGGGGGGCAAGCGUUGUUCGGAAUUACUGGGCGUAAAGGGCUCGUAGGCGGCCAACUAAGUCAGACGUGAAAUCCCUCAGCUUAACUGGGGAACUGCGUCUGAUACUGGAUGGCUUGGAUUUGGGAGAGGGAUGCGGAAUUCCAGGUGUAGCGGUGAAAUGCGUAGAUAUCUGGAGGAACACCGGUGGCGAAGGCGGCUUACUGGACAUGUAUUGACGCUGAGGUGCGAAAGCGUGGGGAGCAAACAGG
rnacentral:rRNA from 1 species